GAGAACUCAGCAAGGCAGAGUUUCACAGACAAGAGGAAAUCGCUAAGCAGUAUGCAGCCCAGAGAGUGGAAAGUUUUUUUCUGGGGGGUUUGGUUUGUUUGGGGGCUUUUUACCAACUUCCCCAUGAAUGUAUUUGACAACUCACUGUUCCUGUCUGCACAGGAUCCCAGUGGAAACUGGAGCUGGGAGAGCUCUUCCUGCUUGGUGGAGGCUUCCCAGGAACGUGAGGGAUUUACCAAUCGCCACCUUUCACUCCCUGUCCCUUGCUGUGUCCCACUGAAGGCCAUGUUCAGUGGUAAACUGCAGACGGGUUUGCUGGUGACCUGCUACUUUGUCUACCUGCUGGUGGGUGCAGCUGUGUUCCAGGCACUGGAGAGGACUGCUGAGAAGCAGGAGAAAAUAGCAGCUGCCCAGAUGAAGGAGACUUUUCUGCAGAGCUUUACCCACCUCACAGUGGCAGAGAUGGAGCAGUUUAUGAAGAACCUGACUGAAGCCAUUCAGAAUGGAGUAUACCCUGUUGGAAAUCAAUCACAGAUUGAAGACAGCAACUGGGAUUUCAGUAACUCCUUCUUCUUUGCAGGCACAGUCAUCUCCACAAUAGUGACGCUGACAGGCUGUCCCAGGAAAAGUGAAACCUGCCUGUUUCUCUGCACCUUCACUGCAGAGAUUUGUUGUGAAGGUACAUCAGGUACUUCCACUCAUCCUCACCAGGUUUUGUCAUGAAAAUGGAAUAUUUCUACAAUAGGGAGCACAAGACAGCUCAAGCAUUUGGGACCCUAGUAGCCAAUAAAUUACUCAGAUGUUUUGUCUUUUCCCUAAAAGAAAACAUUGCAUUUUCCAAGUAAUGGAUGUCUUGAGAUAAACUGUGCUCGGGAAAGUGCCUUUUCUCAGGGUCACUGAUAGAGUAAGGACAUACAUGAAGUACAGGACUCUUGCACUGAGGGAUGUACCUCAUGGGGUCUAAGACGAACAAAUUCUCCAGUCCAUUAAAGGAUAUGUUUGGAGUUCUGAAGCAGAGCAGCCAGAGGCAAAGGAGCCAGGUUCAGACGAGCCAAGAGCCAAGCGUCAUGACCUGGGGAGCUCUGCUCUUUGCUGCCUUGCAGCAGCGACAGUUCUGGGCCAUUGCUGGAGUCCUGGUCCUGCUCUUUGGGCUCUGGUGGUGGCUCAGCAGAAGGAGCCAUGAGACCGACACAUGCAGCAAGAAAGGCAGUUGCAGAAAGAAGGGGCACAGGCAGGAGCAAGAAGGAAAACCCAGUGUUGCUCUGGA